rnacentral:lncRNA from 1 species
CCCCGCCCCACGUGCAGGACUUCCGGCGGGCUGGCUGGAUUCUUGUGGAGACCUGAUCCCCGAUCGUGCUUACAAUGGGGAGCCCGUACGCGCCCACGGGGGGCUGAGCGCUCAGCUGUGAGCAGAGCGGCCGGGGCGGGCUCUGGCCAAACGACCUCCAAAAUCUUGGGCUGCACCCGGGGCCGUGUCUUAGGUAACAGAUCCGGCUCUGCCUGACUCGGGGGCGAUGGGACCAGACCCUUGCUCAAUCCCCAUGGCCAUCCUUACCCCUGCGCGGGAUCAGGAGCUGGAGAAGGCCCAGGAAGCUGCCCCAGCGAUCGGGGCACCCCCUGGGUCCUCACGGACCCCCACUGGAGGGCUAAAGCCAGGUGCAGGGCGUGCCCGUGCCCCGAUUCCUACAUCCUGCCCACCACGGUCUCCACAGUCAAAUGAGGUAGGCUCUUCCUGGUUUAUUAAGCAACCAGAGCAACACAGACUAGAAUGCCUCAACUGCUACGAUAUAACAGAAGAAAUGGGGUUUUCUUUCUUCUUGCUCAAUGACCAUGAUAAAGAUCAACUCGACCUCUGCUACUUUAUACAUCAACGUCUCACCAAAACAUCUCAGGGAAUUAUUCUAGUAGGUUCUACAUUCAGCGCUGCUGGGAAGUGCUCUGGGGACGGCCGCUUACGUCUCUGUUGUCAGUUUCCCAGUUUCUUCGCAGUUGUAUUUCUAGUGUGUAAUUACAUCUGGUACAUAGCAGGUGCUCAGUAAAUGUUUGUCAAAUGAAUAAAUGCAUGAACUCUCGGC